rnacentral:rRNA from 1 species
AGGAUGAUCAGCCACACUGGAACUGAGAUACGGUCCAGACUCCUACGGGAGGCAGCAGUGGGGAAUAUUGGACAAUGGGCGAAAGCCUGAUCCAGCCAUGCCGCAUGAGUGAAGAAGGCCUUUGGGUUGUAAAGCUCUUUUAGUGAGGAAGAUAAUGACGGUACUCACAGAAGAAGUCCUGGCUAACUCCGUGCCAGCAGCCGCGGUAAUACGGAGAGGGCUAGCGUUAUUCGGAAUUAUUGGGCGUAAAGGGCGCGUAGGCUGAUUAAUAAGUUAAAAGUGAAAUCCCGAGGCUUAACCUUGGAAUUGCUUUUAAAACUAUUAAUCUAGAGAUUGAAAGAGGAUAGAGGAAUUCCUGAUGUAGAGGUAAAAUUCGUAAAUAUUAGGAGGAACACCAGUGGCGAAGGCGUCUAUCUGGUUCAAAUCUGACGCUGAAGCGCGAAGGCGUGGGGAGCAAACAGGAUUAGAUACCCUGGUAGUCCACGCUGUAAACGAUGAAUGUUAAAUAUGGGAAGUUUACUU